GUCAGGCACGGUGGCCCAUGCCUGUAAUCCCAGGGACUUGGGAGGCUGAGGCGGGAGGAUCUUGAGUUCAAAGCCAGCUUAAGCAAAAAGUGAGGUGCUAAGCAACUCCGUGAGACCCUGUCUCUA
rnacentral:sRNA from 1 species